rnacentral:rRNA from 1 species
GGGCCCGCACAAGCGGUGGAGCAUGUGGUUUAAUUCGAUGCAACGCGAAGAACCUUACCAAGGCUUGACAUACUACAGAUUUCUUUGAAAAAGGAAAGUGCCUUCGGGAAUGUAGGUACAGGUGGUGCAUGGCUGUCGUCAGCUCGUGUCGUGAGAUGUUGGGUUAAGUCCCGCAACGAGCGCAACCCUUAUUUUUAGUUGCUAAUUUAGUUUAGGUUUUCUAGAAAGACUGCCGGUGACAAACCGGAGGAAGGUGAGGAUGACGUCAAGUCAGCAUGCCCCUUAUGCCUUGGGCUACACACGUGCUACAAUGGUUAAGACAAAGAGUUGCGAGCUCGUGAGAGUCAGCUAAUCUCAUAAACUUAGCCUAAGUUCAGAUUGUAGGCUGCAACUCGCCUACAUGAAGUUGGAAUC